UACGUAGGGUCCGAGCGUUGUCCGGAAUUACUGGGCGUAAAGAGCUCGUAGGUGGUUUGUCGCGUUGUUCGUGAAAACUCACAGCUUAACUGUGGGCGUGCAGGCGAUACGGGCAGACUUGAGUACUGCAGGGGAGACUGGAAUUCCUGGUGUAGCGGUGGAAUGCGCAGAUAUCAGGAGGAACACCGGUGGCGAAGGCGGGUCUCUGGGCCGAUACUGACGCUGAGGAGCGAAAGCGUGGGGAGCGAACAGG
rnacentral:rRNA from 1 species